GACGAACCGUGCGAACGUUAUUCGGAAUCACUGGGCUUAAAGCGCGUGUAGGCGGGACGGCACGUCUGUCGCUGAAAUCCCCCGGCUCAACCGGGGAACGGGCGCGGAUACGACCGUCCUGGAGGGGCGUAGGGGGACCUGGAACUUCCGGUGGAGCGGUGAAAUGCGUUGAGAUCGGAAGGAACGCCCGUGGCGAAAGCGAGCCCCUGGACGUCUACUGACGCUGAGACGCGAAAGCCAGGGGAGCGAACGGG
rnacentral:rRNA from 1 species